GCUGGCGGCGUGCCUAAUACAUGCAAGUAGAACGCUGAAGAGAGGAGCUUGCUCUUCUUGGAUGAGUUGCGAACGGGUGAGUAACGCGUAGGUAACCUGCCUUGUAGCGGGGGAUAACUAUUGGAAACGAUAGCUAAUACCGCAUAACAAUGGAUGACACAUGUCAUUUAUUUGAAAGGGGCAAUUGCUCCACUACAAGAUGGACCUGCGUUGUAUUAGCUAGUAGGUGAGGUAACGGCUCACCUAGGCGACGAUACAUAGCCGACCUGAGAGGGUGAUCGGCCACACUGGGACUGAGACACGGCCCAGACUCCUACGGGAGGCAGCAGUAGGGAAUCUUCGGCAAUGGGGGCAACCCUGACCGAGCAACGCCGCGUGAGUGGAGAAGGUUUUCGGAUCGUAAAGCUCUGUUGUAAGUCAAGAACGAGUGUGAGAGUGGAAAGUUCACACUGUGACGGUAGCUUACCAGAAAGGGACGGCUAACUACGUGCCAGCAGCCGCGGUAAUACGUAGGUCCCGAGCGUUGUCCGGAUUUAUUGGGCGUAAAGCGAGCGCAGGCGGUUUGAUAAGUCUGAAGUUAAAGGCUGUGGCUCAACCAUAGUUCGCUUUGGAAACUGUCAAACUUGAGUGCAGAAGGGGAGAGUGGAAUUCCAUGUGUAGCGGUGAAAUGCGUAGAUAUAUGGAGGAACACCGGUGGCGAAAGCGGCUCUCUGGUCUGUAACUGACGCUGAGGCUCGAAAGCGUGGGGAGCGAACAGGAUUAGAUACCCUGGUAGUCCACGCCGUAAACGAUGAGUGCUAGGUGUUGGAUCCUUUCCGGGAUUCAGUGCCGCAGCUAACGCAUUAAGCACUCCGCCUGGGGAGUACGACCGCAAGGUUGAAACCCAAAGGAAUUGACGGGGGCCCGCACAAGCGGUGGAGCAUGUGGUUUAAUUCGAAGCAACGCGAAGAACCUUACCAGGUCUUGACAUCCCGAUGUUAUUUCUAGAGAUAGAAAGUUACUUCGGUACAUCGGUGACAGGUGGUGCAUGGUUGUCGUCAGCUCGUGUCGUGAGAUGUUGGGUUAAGUCCCGCAACGAGCGCAACCCCUAUUGUUAGUUGCCAUCAUUCAGUUGGGCACUCUAGCGAGACUGCCGGUAAUAAACUGGAGGAAGGUGGGGAUGACGUCAAAUCAUCAUGCCCCUUAUGACCUGGGCUACACACGUGCUACAAUGGUUGGUACAACGAGUUGCGAGUCGGUGACGGCAAGCUAAUCUCUUAAAGCCAAUCUCAGUUCGGAUUGUAGGCUGCAACUCGCCUACAUGAAGUCGGAAUCGCUAGUAAUCGCGGAUCAGCACGCCGCGGUGAAUACGUUCCCGGGCCUUGUACACACCGCCCGUCACACCACGAGAGUUUGUAACACCCGAAGUCGGUGAGGUAACCUUUUGGAGCCAGCCGCCUAAGGUGGGAUAGAUGAUUGGGGU
rnacentral:rRNA from 1 species